AUGAAGUUAUGAAGAAGUAACAGUUGUUCUUUGUUUUGUAUGCUGGGAACAAAUGCUGGGAAGGUACAGUGAUGACGAGACCACCCUGUUCAUGUUUCAGGAACAGCCGGUGUGGACUCUGCAAUUGCUGUCUGUCCACAGAGUCAGCAGCUGGUGUGACAUCAAGGAACAACUGGUGGAGGAAUUUGAUUUGCUGCCGCCCCUCAGCCACAGAUGAAGG